AGCCGAUGAAGACACUUUGCGAUUUCUGACACCUCGUAUGAGAGCUGCAUCUGCAGCCUGAUUCUAACACUGGACUGAGGCUC
rnacentral:snoRNA from 13 species